rfam:Gossypium arboreum cultivar AKA8401 contig_761_3, whole genome shotgun sequence.
UAUUAAAAAUUUCAUCCAUUUGUUUCGUUAAAAAUUAACGUGACUAACGGAAUAACCAGAUAGUGACACAUGCCACGUGUAACGUCCAACGACCAAACUUUAACAAUAAAAAUUAAUGAAAUUUUUAACA